AGUGAACGCUGGCGGUAGGCCUAACACAUGCAAGUCGAACGGCAGCACAGUAAGAGCUUGCUCUUACGGGUGGCGAGUGGCGGACGGGUGAGGAAUACAUCGGAAUCUACUUUUUCGUGGGGGAUAACGUAGGGAAACUUACGCUAACACCGCAUACGACCUACGGGUGAAAGCAGGAGAUCUUCGGACCUUGCGCGAUUGUAUGAGCCGAUGUCGGAUUAGCUAGUUGGCGUGGUAAAGGCCCACCAAGGCGACGAUCCGUAGCUGGUCUGAGAGGAUGAUCAGCCACACUGGAACUGAGACACGGUCCAGACUCCUACGGGAGGCAGCAGUGGGGAAUAUUGCACAAUGGGCGCAAGCCUGAUCCAGCCAUACCGCGUGAGUGAAGAAGGCCUUCGGGUUGUAAAGCCCUUUUGUUGGGAAAGAAAAGCAGCAGGUGAAUACCCCGCUGUUCUGACGGUACCCAAAGAAUAAGCACCGGCUAACUUCGUG
rnacentral:rRNA from 1 species